GUCCACGCCGUAAACGUUGGGCACUAGGUGUGGGAGGUAUUGACCCCUUCCGUGCCGCAGCUAACGCCAUAAGUGCCCCGCCUGGGGAGUACGGCCGCAAGGCUAAAACUCAAAGGAAUUGACGGGGGCCCGCACAAGCAGCGGAGCGUGUGGUUCAAUUCGAUGCAACGCGAAGAACCUUACCAGGGUUUGACAUGCUGGUGGUACCGAUCCGAAAGGUGAGGGACCCUUCGGGGAGCCAGCACAGGUGUUGCAUGGCUGUCGU
rnacentral:rRNA from 1 species